ACGGAAGGUAGCAGUGAGGAAUAUUGGUCAAUGGGCGGAAGCCUGAACCAGCCAUGUCGCGUGCAGGACUACGGCCCUACGGGUCUUAAACUGCUUUUGCAAGGGGAUAAAGUGGGGCACGCGUGCCCCUUUGCGGGUACCUUGCGAAUAAGGAUCGGCUAACUCCGUGCCAGCAGCCGCGGUAAUACGGAGGAUCCGAGCGUUAUCCGGAUUUAUUGGGUUUAAAGGGUGCGUAGGCGGGCUGUUAAGUCAGCGGUGAAACCCCCGGGCUCAACCCGGGGACUGCCAUUGAGACUGGCGGCCUUGAGUACGUUGGGAGUGCGCGGAAUGUGUGGUGUAGCGGUGAAAUGCAUAGAUAUCACACAGAACACCGAUCGCGUAGGCAGCGCACUACGCCGCAACUGACGCUGAGGCACGAAGGCGCGGGGAUCGAACAGGAUUAGAUACCCUGGUA
rnacentral:rRNA from 1 species